CGUAGUUUUAUUGCUGGAAUACCUACUGGAAUAAAAGGCUUAAGCAUAAUAAAUAGGAGACUGAAACUCUUUAAACAAACCGAAGCAACUGAAUAGAACACUUGAUAAAAAGUAGAAAGUCUGCAUUGAGGCCAAGUUACGGCUAUGGAAGUUUCGUGAGCUGUUCUUCAUAGUUGUUCCGAAAAGAUAUUAUAUUAUCAUAUCUUGCUGAUUGGUGUAAACACGGGGUCACGUUAGAUUUAUCUUUCAACUGUGAAAGAUUAUACCAGUUGCAGUGGUAGAAGUAGUGACGAAACAGAAGUAGCAGUUGUGACAAGAUUAGCGAUGUAAUGAUGAGGUGCCUAGUAGAUGUCGUGCAAAGAAUAAUAUAAAUUCAAACAAAUAAUGUCCCAGGUGUGACAACUGACAACUGAGAGAGAAGAGUACUGGCUUAUGUAUGGACUUGUCCCAAGUGUGACAAGCAGUGGUUGCUAAGAAUAUUUGAUUGAAUAUACUUUGUCCCAAGUGUGUCAAAGAUAGUUUAUUUUAAAUGUCCCAGGUGUGACGCGGUAGGAUUUUGACCUGUGUCCCUAGUGUGACAUACGGCAGAUGGUAAUUUUGAGUAUGUCCCAAGUGUGACAUGCGGCGGAUGGAAAUUUUGAGUAUGUCCCAAGUGUGACAUACGGCAGAUGGAAAUUUUGAUUAUGUCCCAAGUGUGACAUACGGCAAGUGUAAAUUUUUGACUUUGUCCCAAGUGUGACAAACGAGGGCAGCGCGGUGAUUAAAAUAAAAACCUAAGAAUGAGGAAUCUAGAAUAUGAUUGGAACCAGCAAACGAACUGGAAAACGGCUGACAGAGCGGCUGGAAAAUGACGAACAAUAAUAGUCUGGUAAAACCUUAUUGGACAAUUUCGGUGCCAUGGCGGUGACAACCUAUGAUGUCUGAACAAUAAUUCGGACUUCUUGAAGAAUAGCGACGAUUGGUUGAACGUCAUGGACAAAAAGGCUGAAGUUGGCAUACGAGUAUAGUGGUCGAAGUUGAUGUAUCCUUUAAAGAAAAAAAAAGAGAUUUAAUAGAUAUUUUGAUUAUGAAUGAUAAUAAUAUCGCUUUCGAGUAAUAUACAUGUUCUUGUUUUGCCGGACCGUACUGAUUCAAUGUCAGCACAAGACCUAAUAAAAAAAUAAUAAAAAAAAUAUGUUAUGUAUACAUACAUA